UCUGAAUUUAUUAGUCUUUUGUUUACGGGAAUUCCAUGUUUCCCCUGGCAGCCAUAACAUCUUAAAUUGUUGGGAUUAACCUGGAAAUGAAAGCUGUCAGCCUUCCGGGUCAGGCUGUGAUGCAAAAACCAAAAGCUUGACACAGUUAAACUAGAAUUUCUGCUGUCUACCCGGGGGGAUAUUGAGCUUAAUGUCUGGUAUGUUAUUAAUAUUCUUCAAGCAAGAUAUGGCUUAGGGCUUCCAGGUAUGUGUCCCCAUUACUCCUCAAAGCCUCUAAAGACUAGAGACAAGUAGCCAACUGGACUCACUGGGGAAAGCUGAAGAGUAGGGUUUCUUCGAGUUGAAAUCAGUACUCUGCUUUAGGUUACUUGAAUUUCAUUGUCUCUAUUGGCCCACACCUGCUUCUCACAAUAUUUAUGACACCCGAAGGUUGUCCAACACAAUUUUCUUAUAAGACAUUACGUUGGGUUCUUGUCUUCUGGUUUUCCUUUAGCUCAGUCUUCUGUUUUUCCGAACUUUGUACAAAGGUAUGUAAAAAUUUUUGCAUGGAAGAUUCUUAUGUAGGCUUCCAUGACAUGCUAUGACUUUGAGGAAUCAUGCCUC